CCAAAGUCACUUCAAACGACUAAUCUUUUUUAGCCUUUCUGCUGCAUAAAGGGCAGUGAAAGAUCACUUUUUUUUUUCUGACUUCUGGAACACCAACAUUAAUUCCAUAGCCACCCCCCAACCUCUCAACAGAAACUCCAGUGAGGAAGUGGUAUUCAGCUUUCAAGGGAAUCUUACCAUUGGGCAAAAGGAAGCAACCACUUUUGCCUCAACUUUGUGGUGGUCUUUUUGUGCCCAUAACCCCAGAAAGUGCAGUGAGCAGCACAUG
rnacentral:lncRNA from 1 species